GAUGAACGCUGGCGGCGUGCCUAAUACAUGCAAGUCGAGCGAAGAGACGAGGAGCUUGCCCGUUGGACGUUAGGGGCGGGCGGGUGAGUAACACGUGGAUAACCUACCUAUAAGACUGGGAUAACUUCGGGAAAGCGGAGCUAAUACGGGAUAAGAUAUUGAACCGCAUGGUUCAAUAGUGAAAGACGGCUUUGAUGUCACUUAUAGAGGGAUCCCCGCCGCAUUGGCUGGUUGGUAAGGUAACGGGCUACCAAGGGAACGAUGCGUAGCCGAACUGACCGGUUGAUCGGCCACCCUGGAGCUUGGCCGCGCUCCCUGCGCCUACGGGAGGCACCAGACGGGAAUCUUCCGCAAUGGUCGGAAGCUUUGCGCAGCAACGCCGCGCGAGUGAUGACGGUCUUCGGUUCGUAAAGCUCUCUUAUUAGUGAAGAACAACUUUGUAAGUAACUAUGCCCGUCUUGACGGUACCUGCACAGAAAGCCACGGCUAACUACGUG
rnacentral:rRNA from 1 species